UACAGAGGUGGCAAGCGUUGUUCGGAAUUACUGGGCGUAAAGGGCGCGUAGGCGGUUCGUUAAGUCCUGUGUGAAAUCCCCCGGCUCAACUGGGGAACUGCACAGGAAACUAGCGGGCUUGAGUUCGGGAGAGGGAAGCGGAAUUCCGGGUGUAGCGGUGAAAUGCGUAGAUAUCCGGAGGAACACCGGUGGCGAAGGCGCACAUCUGGCCCGAUACUGACGCUGAGGCGCGAAAGCUAGGGGAGCAAACGGG
rnacentral:rRNA from 1 species